rnacentral:lncRNA from 1 species
AAGGCUUGGCUAGUAAUGCAAAGUUUGGGAUCCACAGGCUACAAAACCCCACAGCUCCUAAGAAUUCUCUAACCUGCCUUCUGCUCUUAAGCUCCGGUAGAUUGCAAAUAACCUGCUUUCUUUCUGUUCCCCAGCUGCGUUCGGACCCCUGUCGGAUAGGAAAUCCCAAGUAAGGUACCUGCCAUCGGCAGAUUUGAGCUUUCUUCUUGGACACCUGAUACCCACAGUCCUCCAGGCUCCGGUAGAUUGCAAAUAACCUGCUUUCUUUCUGUUCCCGGGCUGCCUUCGGAACCCUGUGGGAGAGUAAAUCCCUAGUAAGGUACCUGCCGUUGACAGAUUUGAGCUUUCUUCUUGGACACCUAAUACCCACAGUCCUCCAGGUGUGAAAGAAAUACUCAAGUGACUGUGUUGCUGGUGGGAAAAAGCGUAUCAUUUCCUGGGGUCUUCAGGGUGCUGUUAACUGUCUCCUUUCUCCUCAUGGAUUAGCUCCUCAGAAAUAGCAAACUCCUCCUUUGCUGCCAGACUCCAAGAAUUCAGCAUAUCUGUGUGCGUUAUCUGGCUUCACAAGUAGCCUCCAUGUGAGUGGACUAGGCAGCCUGUAAAGUGAAGGGGAGUUUGUCCCUAUGGGGUGAGAAUGAAACAAUAGGAAACUUCUUAUGACAGACAGUAAAGCAGAUAAAUACCUCCCCAUUUUUCCCUUCUGUUAACUACUCUUCCAUAAACUUUGGUGAAUUCCUGCAUACCACAGGUCUGUUGAGGGACUUUCUAUGCCUCUGCAGUAGAUUGAGGAGCAGUUACCAGCACAGUAAUGCAAUGCAUUCCAUUCUUUUUCAUCUUUCCUUGCUUCCCUUAACUGCUCUUGAAUUGCAUCCUCUAAAUAAAUCAAAU